UACCAGACUCCUACGGGAGGCAGCAGUGGGGAAUAUUGCACAAUGGGGGAAACCCUGAUGCAGCGACGCCGCGUGAGUGAAGAAGUAUUUCGGUAUGUAAAGCUCUAUCAGCAGGGAAGAAAAUGACGGUACCUGACUAAGAAGCCCCGGCUAACUACGUGCCAGCAGCCGCGGUAAUACGUAGGGGGCAAGCGUUAUCCGGAUUUACUGGGUGUAAAGGGAGCGCAGGCGGCAUGGCAAGUCUGAUGUGAAAACCCGGGGCCCAACCCCGGGAGUGCAUUGGAAACUGCCAGGCUGGAGUGUCGGAGGGGUAAGCGGAAUUCCUAGUGUAGCGGUGAAAUGCGUAGAUAUUAGGAGGAACACCAGUGGCGAAGGCGGCUUACUGGACGACUACUGACGCUGAGGCUCGAAAGCGUGGGGAGCAAACAGGAUUAGAUACCCCCGUAA
rnacentral:rRNA from 1 species